CGUAACAAGGUUUCCGUAGGUGAACCUGCGGAAGGAUCAUUACUGAGUGAGGGCCCUCUGGGUCCAACCUCCCACCCGUGUUUAUUGUACCUUGUUGCUUCGGUGCGCCCGCCUCACGGCCGCCGGGGGGCUUCUGCCCCCGGGUCCGCGCGCACCGGAGACACCAUUGAACUCUGUCUGAAGAUUGCAGUCUGAGCAUAAACUAAAUAAGUUAAAACUUUCAACAACGGAUCUCUUGGUUCCGGCAUCGAUGAAGAACGCAGCGAAAUGCGAUAACUAAUGUGAAUUGCAGAAUUCAGUGAAUCAUCGAGUCUUUGAACGCACAUUGCGCCCCCUGGUAUUCCGGGGGGCAUGCCUGUCCGAGCGUCAUUGCUGCCCUCAAGCACGGCUUGUGUGUUGGGCUCCGUCCCCCCGGGGACGGGUCCGAAAGGCAGCGGCGGCACCGAGUCCGGUCCUCGAGCGUAUGGGGCUUUGUCACCCGCUCUGUAGGCCCGGCCGGCGCCAGCCGACAACCAAUCA
rnacentral:rRNA from 1 species